CUUGGCCCCUUUGGUAGAAGAAAUGGGCCCUCUUUGUGGGAGCAUAGAGAAGGCCAAGCAUUGGCUUCCAGUCCGCAGUGUUUCUCUCCACUGUUUUUAGGAGGCCUCGAGGCACCCACUGGGACUAGACCACAACUCCCCUGUCUCCCAGCCCAUGGGAUAUGGCCUGGAAUAUCAGCAGCCAUUUUUUGAAGACCCAACAAGAGCCAGCAACCUAGAGGAGGAUGAAGAGGACGGGUGGAGCAGAGCCUACCUGCCGUCUGCCGUGGAGCAGACUCACUCCACGAGAGCCACGCAGAACUCAUCGCCCUGUGGCACCUACCUUUCCUUCUUUUCCAACGCGUCAGAGCUGGCAGGUCCUGAGUCUUUGCCCCCAUGGACACUGAGUGACACUGACUCCAGGCUCUCCCCAGCGUCUCCAGCUGGGAAUCCUAAUGUAGACUUUGCAGCUCAUGAAGAAUCCUUAGGGGACAGACACCUGCGGACGCUGCAGUUAAGUUACGAAGCAGCACAGCUCUCCAACUUCAAGCGAGAAA
rnacentral:lncRNA from 1 species